rnacentral:rRNA from 1 species
GACGAACGCUGGCGGCGUGCUUAACACAUGCAAGUCGAACGAAGAGCGAUGGAAGCUUGCUUCUAUCAAUCUUAGUGGCGAACGGGUGAGUAACGCGUAAUCAACCUGCCCUUCAGAGGGGGACAACAGUUGGAAACGACUGCUAAUACCGCAUACGAUCUAAUCUCGGCAUCGAGGAAAGAUGAAAGGUGGCCUCUAUUUAUAAGCUAUCACUGAAGGAGGGGACCGCGUCUGAUUAGCUAGUUGGAGGGGUAACGGCCCACCAAGGCGAUGAUCAGUAGCCGGUCUGAGAGGAUGAACGGCCACAUUGGGACUGAGACACGGCCCAGACUCCUACGGGAGGCAGCAGUGGGGAAUCUUCCGCAAUGGACGAAAGUCUGACGGAGCAACGCCGCGUGAGUGAUGACGGCCUUCGGGUUGUAAAGCUCUGUUAAUCGGGACGAAAGGCCUUCUUGCGAACAGUUAGAAGGAUUGACGGUACCGGAAUAGAAAGCCACGGCUAACUACGUG